rnacentral:rRNA from 1 species
UACGAAGGGUGCUAGCGUUGUUCGGAAUCACUGGGCGUAAAGCGCGCGUAGGCGGCUUGACAAGUCAGAGGUGAAAUCCCAAGGCUUAACCUUGGAACUGCCUUUGAAACUGUCAAGCUGGAGUGUCGGAGGGGAUGGCGGAAUUGCUAAUGUAGAGGUGAAAUUCGUAGAUAUUAGCAGGAACACCGGUGGCGAAGGCGGCCAUCUGGACGACAACUGACGCUGAGGCGCGAAAGCGUGGGGAUCAAAC